UUCGGACUGGAGUCUGCAACCCGACUCCACGAAGUUGGAUUCGCUAGUAAUCGCGCAUCAGCCAUGGCGCGGUGAAUACGUUCCCGGGCCUUGUACACACCGCCCGUCAAGCCAUGGGAGGCCGGGGGCGCCUGAAGUCCGGGACCGCGAGGACCGGCCUAGGGCGAAACUGGUAACUGGGGCUAAGUCGUAACAAGGUAUC
rnacentral:rRNA from 1 species